rnacentral:rRNA from 1 species
ACACGGGGGGGGCAAGCGUUGUCCGGAAUUAUUGGGCGUAAAGGGCGCGUAGGCGGGCUGAUCAGUCCGAGGUGAAAGUUUUCGGCUCAACCGGAAAAUUGCCUUGGAUACUGUCAGUCUUGAGUUCGGAAGAGGGAAGUGGAAUUCCUGGUGUAGCGGUGAAAUGCGUAGAUAUCAGGAAGAACACCGGUGGCGAAGGCGGCUUCCUGGUCCGAAACUGACGCUGAGGCGCGAAAGCGUGGGGAGCAAACAGGAUUAGAAACCCGGGUAGUCC